rnacentral:rRNA from 1 species
UCCUACGGGAGGCAGCAGUGGGGAAUAUUGGACAAUGGGCGCAAGCCCGAUCCAGCCAUGCCGCGUGAGUGAUGAAGGCCCUAGGGUUGUAAAGCUCUUUCACCGGUGAAGAUAAUGACGGUAACCGGAGAAGAAGCCCCGGCUAACUUCGUGCCAGCAGCCGCGGUAAUACGAAGGGGGCUAGCGUUGUUCGGAAUUACUGGGCGUAAAGCGCACGUAGGCGGAUAUUUAAGUUAGGGGUGAAAUCCCAGGGCUCAACCCUGGAACUGCCUCUAAUACUGGGUAUCUCGAGUCCGAGAGAGGUGAGUGGAAUUCCGAGUGUAGAGGUGAAAUUCGUAGAUAUUCGGAGGAACACCAGUGGCGAAGGCGGCUCACUGGCUCGGUACUGACGCUGAGGUGCGAAAGCGUGGGGAGCAAACAGGAUUAGAUACCCGUGUAGUCA